AGGGGUACAGCUCAGUGGUAGAGUGCAUGCUUGGUGUGUGUGAGGUCCCGGGUUCAAUGCCCAGUGCCUCCA
rnacentral:tRNA from 1 species